rnacentral:rRNA from 1 species
UACGUAGGGGGCUAGCGUUGUCCGGAAUCAUUGGGCGUAAAGAGCGUGUAGGCGGCCCGGUAAGUCCGCUGUGAAAGUCGGGGGCUCAACCCCUCAAUGCCGGUGGAUACUGUCGGGCUAGAGUGCGGAAGAGGCGAGUGGAAUUCCUGGUGUAGCGGUGAAAUGCGCAGAUAUCAGGAGGAACACCUAUUGCGAAGGCAGCUCGCUGGGACGUAACUGACGCUGAGACGCGAAAGCGUGGGGAGCAAACAGG